GAUGAACGCUGGCGGCGUGCCUAAUACAUGCAAGUCGAGCGAACGGACGAGAAGCUCGCUCCUCUGAUGUUAGCGGCGGACGGGUGAGUAACACGUGGAUAACCUACCUAUAAGACUGGGAUAACUUCGGGAAACCGUAGCUAAUACCGGAUAAUAUUUUGAACCGCAUGGUUCAAAAGUGAAAGACGGUCUUGCUGUCACUUAUAGAUGGAUCCGCGCUGCAUUAGCUAGUUGGUAAGGUAACGGCUUACCAAGGCAACGAUGCAUAGCCGACCUGAGAGGGUGAUCGGCCACACUGGAACUGAGACACGGUCCAGACUCCUACGGGAGGCAGCAGUAGGGAAUCUUCCGCAAUGGGCGAAAGCCUGACGGAGCAACGCCGCGUGAGUGAUGAAGGUCUUCGGAUCGUAAAACUCUGUUAUUAGGGAAGAACAUAUGUGUAAGUAACUGUGCACAUCUUGACGGUACCUAAUCAGAAAGCCACGGCUAACUACGU
rnacentral:rRNA from 1 species